AUGACCCACACUGCCCCCCCUUCCCCCCUUCCCAACACACACACACUCUCUCUCUCUCUCUCUCUCUCUCUUUCCUUAUCUUCAUCUCUCCGCUCCGAUUGCCGCCGUCGUCCAUCUCAAUUCCCCCGUUUUUUGCUUCUGACGUCACAUGGACCCAUACGAACAGUUGUCCGAGGUGGAGGAUCCGGAGAUGGUGGUCGUCUGAAAGAUCAACUCGGCGACAAGCAAGCCCAUCGCCUCAAAGCGAAGGCAAAGGAUGGGCUGGCCGGCAAAAAGAAGGGCGGCGGGCAGAGCGAGGAUGGGAUGCAUGGGUCAGGCGCGACCGGGGACGUGGGGCACCCUAGGGAAAGAAGUGAGAGGGGGAGAAGGUGA
rnacentral:rRNA from 1 species